rnacentral:rRNA from 1 species
UGGGGAAUAUUGCACAAUGGGCGCAAGCCUGAUGCAGCCAUGCCGCGUGUGUGAAGAAGGCCUUCGGGUUGUAAAGCACUUUCAGCGAGGAGGAAGGUGGUGAGCUUAAUACGCUCAUCAAUUGACGUUACUCGCAGAAGAAGCACCGGCUAACUCCGUGCCAGCAGCCGCGGUAAUACGGAGGGUGCAAGCGUUAAUCGGAAUUACUGGGCGUAAAGCGCACGCAGGCGGUUUGUUAAGUCAGAUGUGAAAUCCCCCGGGCUCAACCUGGGAACUGCAUUUGAAACUGGCAAGCUAGAGUCUCGUAGAGGGGGAUAGAAUUCCAGGUGUAGCGGUGAAAUGCGUAGAGAUCUGGAGGAAUACCGGUGGCGAAGGCGGCCCCCUGGACGAAGACUGACGCUCAGGUGCGAAAGCGUGGGGAGCAAACAGAUUAGNUACCCUGGUAGUCCACGCUGUAAACGAUGUCGAUUUUGGAGGUUGUGCCCCUUGAGGCGUGGNUUCCGGAGCUAACG